GGGGUUAGUAGGUGUUGGAGGUUGUUCUGGUCUGGAGCGUCAGUGUGGUGGGGGUUAGUAGGUGUUGGAGGUUGUUCUGGUCUGGAGGGUCAGUGUGGUGGGGGUUAGUAGGUGUUGGACUGGGUUGUUCUGGUCUGGAGCAUCAGUGUGGUGGGGGUUAGUAGGUGUUGGAGGUUGUUCUGCUCUGGAGGGUCAGUGUGGUGGGGGUUAGUAGGUGUUGGAGGUUGUUCUGGUCUGGAGCGUCAGUGUGGUGGGGGUUAGUAGGUCUUGGAGGUUGUUCUGGUCUGGAGCGUCAGUGUGGUGGGGGUUAGUAGAUGUUGGACUUGGUUGUUCUGGUCUGGAGGGUCAGUGUGGUGGUGGUUAGUAGGUGUUGGAGGUUGUUCUGGUCUGGAGCGUCAGUGUGGUGGGGUUAGUAGGUGUUGGAGGUUGUUCUGGUCUGGAGGGUCAGUGUGGUGGGGGUUAGUAGGUGUUGGAGGUUGUUCUG
ensembl:lncRNA